rnacentral:rRNA from 1 species
UAGGGAAUCUUCCGCAAUGGGCGAAAGCCUGACGGAGCAACGCCGCGUGAGUGAUGAAGGUCUUCGGAUCGUAAAACUCUGUUAUUAGGGAAGAACAAACGUGUAAGUAACUAUGCACGUCUUGACGGUACCUAAUCAGAAAGCCACGGCUAACUACGUGCCAGCAGCCGCGGUAAUACGUAGGUGGCAAGCGUUAUCCGGAAUUAUUGGGCGUAAAGCGCGCGUAGGCGGUUUUUUAAGUCUGAUGUGAAAGCCCACGGCUCAACCGUGGAGGGUCAUUGGAAACUGGAAAACUUGAGUGCAGAAGAGGAAAGUGGAAUUCCAUGUGUAGUAGUGAAAUGCGCAGAGAUAUGGAGGAACACCAGUGGCGAAGGCGACUUUCUGGUCUGUAACUGACGCUGAUGUGCGAAAGCGUGGGGAUCAAACAGG